UAGCCACGUAGGUGACCCAGGACGAGGGGUGACCCCGAAUCCAACCGAGAGUCACAGUGGAAUCCGACCACAGGUGUAGAGGUGCCUUCUCUGCGCCAAUAAGAGGGACAACGUGGGCGACCAGUCGAGCGAGAAGACUGGCGGCCGAUAACUCUAAACGAGGUAGAGGACGGCGGCGUAGGCACGUUCGGAGGCAUCGGCAAACCCGUGAAUUUCCUGAUGGGAGUCCGCUACGCUGCCUAACCAACGAGGCACACCCAGGUUUUCCAAUGCAUCCAGCUCUUCCUGGAACCGCAGCCAUUUCCUCGCUUCCUCGGUUGGCAGAGACGCGUCCCAGUCAAGGCCCAGCAGCCAGAUAGUUUGAAUGUUGAUCUUGGCCAGCACGGUAGUGGGAGACAGCCAGUCGAGUGGAUCAAACAAUUUCGCCGUCAAGGAGAGGACCGAUCUUUUGGUGACAGCCGAGAGGGUGAUCUUAUGAGUGGCGAAGGCAAAGCGAUCGUUGCACGGUUGCCAUCGAAGUCCGAGAGUGGAGUGACUCUCUCCGGGCAGCCACCAUCUGGCCUCUUGUUGCAGGCGCGCGUCCGGUUCCACGAGGCUCAGCAGAUUUUUGGCACCGGACAGGAUGUCG